rnacentral:rRNA from 1 species
CACAUGCAGUCGAACGGUAACAGGAAGCAGCUUGCUGCUUUGCUGACGAGUGGCGGACGGGUGAGUAAUGUCUGGGAAACUGCCUGAUGGAGGGGGAUAACUACUGGAAACGGUAGCUAAUACCGCAUAACGUCGCAAGACCAAAGAGGGGGACCUUCGGGCCUCUUGCCAUCGGAUGUGCCCAGAUGGGAUUAGCUAGUAGGUGGGGUAACGGCUCACCUAGGCGACGAUCCCUAGCUGGUCUGAGAGGAUGACCAGCCACACUGGAACUGAGACACGGUCCAGACUCCUACGGGAGGCAGCAGUGGGGAAUAUUGCACAAUGGGCGCAAGCCUGAUGCAGCCAUGCCGCGUGUAUGAAGAAGGCCUUCGGGUUGUAAAGUACUUUCAGCGGGGAGGAAGGGAGUAAAGUUAAUACCUUUGCUCAUUGACGUUACCCGCAGAAGAAGCACCGGCUAACUCCGUGCCAGCAGCCGCGGUAAUACGGAGGGUGCAAGCGUUAAUCGGAAUUACUGGGCGUAAAGCGCACGCAGGCGGUUUGUUAAGUCAGAUGUGAAAUCCCCGGGCUCAACCUGGGAACUGCAUCUGAUACUGGCAAGCUUGAGUCUCGUA